GUGUUCCCCACCUGCUUGUGAUCUUGCACUGACCGCACAGUAAGAGGAAAAAGAGUCAAAACUACACUAUAUAGGCCUCGGCCCAGGAACCUAGUCAGGGUCUGCCUUGUAAGUAGAGGGCUUGAG
rnacentral:snoRNA from 1 species